rnacentral:tRNA from 1 species
CGGUAGCUCAGUUGGUAGAGCAAAGGACUGAAAAUCCUUGUGUCGGUGGUUCGAUUCCACUCUG